rnacentral:rRNA from 1 species
UAACCUGCCCUAGACAGGGGGAUAACUGCUGGAAACGGCAGCUAAGACCGCAUAGGUAUGGACACUGCAUGGUGACCAUAUUAAAAGUGCCAAGGCACUGGUAGAGGAUGGACUUAUGGCGCAUUAGCUAGUUGGUGAGGUAACGGCUCACCAAGGCGACGAUGCGUAGCCGACCUGAGAGGGUGACCGGCCACACUGGGACUGAGACACGGCCCAG